GUAAGGGCGUAUGGUGGAUGCCUUGGCAUUAGAAGCUGAUGAAGGACGUGACUAACUACGAUAUGCUUCGGGGAGAUGUACGUAAUCUUUGAUCCGGAGAUUUCCGAAUGGGGGAACCCACUAGUGGUAAUGCACUAGUAUCACAUAAUGAAUAUAUAGUUAUGUAGAAAGCAACCCAGUGAACUGAAACAUCUUAGUAACUGGAGGAACAGAAAGAAAAAUCGAUUUCCUUAGUAGUGGCGAGCGAAACGGAAAGAGCCCAAACCGACUUUAGAGUCGGGGUUGUAGGACCUCUCUAUAAGAGUUACAAAUUCAUAACAUAGUUGAACUUUUCUGGAAAGUUAGACGAAACAAGGUGAUAGUCCUGUAAACGAAAUGUUAUGAACUCUUUGAGGUAUCCUGAGUACAACGAGACACGAGAAAUCUUGUUGGAAUCUGCGGGGACCAUCCCGUAAGGCUAAAUACUCUCUAAUGACCGAUAGUGAACAAGUACCGUGAGGGAAAGGUGAAAAGAACCCCGGGAGGGGAGUGAAAUAGAAACUGAAACCGUAUGCUUACAAAAAGUUCGAGCACAUUAAUGUGUGAGAGCGUGCCUUUUGCAGAAUGAACCGGCGAGUUAUUGUAUUAUGCAAGGUUAAGUCGAACAGAUGGAGCCGAAGCGAAAGCGAGUCUGAAUAGGGCGCUUAAGUAUGAUGCAAUAGACCCGAAACCGAGUGAUCUAGCCAUGAGCAGGUUGAAGUUGGGGUAAGACCCAAUGGAGGACCGAACCGAUAUGCCCGGAAACGCGUACGGAUGACUUGUGGUUAGCGGAGAAAUUCCAAACGAACUCGGAGAUAGCUGGUUCUCCCCGAAAUAGGUUUAGGCCUAGCCUUGAUUGAAUCUGCCCGGAGGUAGAGCACUGAAUGUGCGAUGGCGUCGUCUAGAUGUACUGAGUACAAUCAAACUCCGAAUGCUGGGUAGUACUAAUCAGGAGUCACUGUAUGGGUGAUAACGUCCAUACGGGAGAGGAAAAGAAUCCGGAUCGCCAGCUAAGGUCCCAAAAUUUGUGUUAAGUGGGAAAGGAUGUAGAGUUGUCAAAACAGCUAGGAGGUUGGCUUAGAAGCAGCCACCCUUUAAAGAGUGCGUAAUAGCUCACUAGUCGAGUGACACUGCGCCGAAGAUGUACCGGGGCUAAACACAAUACCGAAGCUGCGGACUUGCAUGUAAGUGCAAGUGGUAGGGGAGCGUUCUAAGGGCUGUGAAGGUAGACCGUAAGGACUGCUGGAGCGCUUAGAAGUGAGAAUGCCGGUGUGAGUAACGAAAAUUGGGUGAGAAUCCCAUUCACCGUUUGACUAAGGGUUCCUGGGUAAAGUUCGUCUUCCCAGGGUAAGUCAGGACCUAAGAUGAGGCUGAAAAGCGUAGUCGAUGGACAACAGGUUGAUAUUCCUGUACCACCUAUAUGACUGAAGGAGUGACGGAGAAAGCUAGUGAGAGCCAGUUAAUGGAUUCUGGUUUAAGUGCGUAGGCUAGUAUGUUGGCAAAUCCGCAAUACUAUAACAGCUGAAACAUGAUGGGGAAGAGAGUCUUCGGACAAUCGAACUUUCAUGAUGCUAUGCUUCCAAGAAAAGCUUCUAGGGUUAAUCGUAUAGGUGCCUGUACCGACAACCGACACAGGUGGUCAAGGAGAGUAUCCUAAGGUGAGCGAGAGAACUAUGGUUAAGGAACUCGGCAAAAUGACCCCGUAACUUCGGGAGAAGGGGUGGUCUAGCGAUAGACCCGCAGUGAAUAGGCCCAGGCAACUGUUUACCAAAAACACAGGUCUCUGCUAACACGUAAGUGGAUGUAUAGGGGCUGACGCCUGCCCAGUGCUGGAAGGUUAAAGAGAUUAGUUAGUAUGACGUAAGUCGAUAAUACGAAGCUUUGAACUGAAGCCCCAGUGAACGGCGGCCGUAACUAUAACGGUCCUAAGGUAGCGAAAUUCCUUGUCAGGUAAGUUCUGACCCGCACGAAAGGCGUAAUGACGGAGAGACCCCGUGGAGCUUUACUGUAGCUUGAUAUUGGAAUUCGGUAAACUAUGUAGAGCAUAGGUGGGAGACUAUGAGACUAAGGCGCCAGCCUUAGAGGAGUCACCAUUGGAAUACCACCCUUAGUUUAUUGGAUUUCUAACCUAGGACCAUAAUCUGGUUCAGGGACAGUGUCUGGUGGGCAGUUUGACUGGGGCGGUCGCCUCCUAAAGAGUAACGGAGGCGUUCAAAGGUUCCCUCAGAAUGGUUGGAAAUCAUUCAAAGAGCAUAAAGGUAUAAAGGGAGCUUGACUGCAAGACCUACAAGUCAAGCAGGUGCGAAAGCAGGACUUAGUGAUCAGGCGAUUCAGAAUGGAAUGGUCGUCGCUUAACGGAUAAAAGUUACCCCGGGGAUAACAGGCUGAUACCACCCAAUAGUUCACAUAGACGGUGGUGUUUGGCACCUCGAUGUCGGCUCGUCAUAUCCUGGAGGUGGAGUCGCUUCCAAGGGUUGGGCUGUUCGCCCAUUAAAAUGGCACGCGAGCUGGGUUCAGAACGUCGUGAGACAGUUCGGUCCCUAUCCGUCGUGGGCGCAGGAAAAUUGAGGAGAGCUAUCCUUAGUACGAGAGGACCGGGAUGGACCUACCUCUGGUGUAUCUGUUGUCACGCCAGUGGCAGUGCAGAGUAGCUAUGUAGGGAAGGGAUAAACGCUGAAAGCAUCUAAGCGUGAAGCCCUCUCCAAGAUGAGUUUUCCCAUUGUUUAACAAGUAAAAUCCCAGAAAGACUAACUGGUAGAUAGGCUAGAAGUGGAAGUGUAGUGAUACAUUGAGCGGACUAGUACUAAUAGAUUGAGGAUUUAAUCC
rnacentral:rRNA from 1 species